ensembl:misc_RNA Metazoa_SRP Metazoan signal recognition particle RNA
GUCGGGCGUGGUGGCCCACGCCUGUAAUCCCAGGUACUUGGGAGGCUGAGGCAGAAGAAUCACUUGAACCCAGGAGGGGGAGGUUGCAGUGAGCUGAGAUCAUGUCACUGCACUCCAGCCUGGGCAACAGAGUGAGACUCUGUUUCCA